rnacentral:rRNA from 1 species
UGGGGAAUAUUGCACAAUGGGCGCAAGCCUGAUGCAGCGACGCCGCGUGGGGGAUGACGGCCUUCGGGUUGUAAACUCCUUUCUCUAGGGACGAAGCUUUUUGUGACGGUACCUAGAUAAGAAGCACCGGCUAACUACGUGCCAGCAGCCGCGGUAAUACGUAGGGUGCGAGCGUUGUCCGGAAUUACUGGGCGUAAAGGGCUCGUAGGUGGUUUGUCGCGUCGUCUGUGAAAUUCCGGGGCUUAACUCCGGGCGUGCAGGCGAUACGGGAAUAACUUGAGUACUGUAGGGGUAACUGGAACUGCCGGUGUAGCGGUGAAAUGCGCAGAUAUCAGGAGGAACACCGAUGGAGAAGGCAGGUUACUAGGAAGUUACUGACGCUGAGGAGCGAAAGCAUGGGUAGCGAACAGG